rnacentral:rRNA from 1 species
UACGUAGGGCGCAAGCGUUGUCCCGGAAUUAUUGGGCGUAAAGAGCUCGUAGGCGGUCUGUUACGUCCGCUGUGAAAACCCAGGGCUUAACCCUGGGCUUGCAGUGGAUACGGGCAGACUAGAGGCAGGUAGGGAGAAUGGAAUUCCCCGGUGUAGCGGUGAAAUGCGCAGAUAUCGGGAGGAACACCGGUGGCGAAGGCGGUUCUCUGGGCCUGACCUGACGCUGAGGAGCGAAAGCGUGGGGAGCGAACAGG